rnacentral:rRNA from 1 species
UACGUAGGGUGCAAGCGUUGUCCGGAAUUAUUGGGCGUAAAGGGCUCGUAGGCGGUCCAUCGCGUCGGGAGUGAAAAGCUGGGGCUUAACCCCAGUCCUGCUUCCGAUACGGGUGGACUAGAGGUAGGUAGGGGAGAUCGGAAUUCCUGGUGUAGCGGUGAAAUGCGCAGAUAUCAGGAGGAACACCGGUGGCGAAGGCGGAUUUCUGGGCCUUACCUGACGCUGAGGAGCGAAAGCAUGGGGAGCAAACAGG